CAAGGUUUGGUCUCCCUAACCUAAGGUUUGAUGUCUGAGGCAUCAAAAGUGUUGUCCUCUGCUUUCAAAGAAGACAGUACUGAUGCCGAAGGCUGAUGAAGGCUGAAAAUCGUGUCAUCCAACAGUAUUUUGAGGGCAUCCAGAAUUGCCAUUAGAUAUACUGCACGAGGAGCCAUAGAUCUGGCCCUGCAUCAAUGAGCCAGCCGCCAAUGAGAACAGCUGUCUGACACCUUCACCUAGUCCACGGCCUCCUCAACCUGCUGGGUUCCUAAAUUGUUUCAGGGAAAAACUUCACUUGAUCCAGAAACAGAAACACAGAAAAAUCAGAGGAGGAAGAAACAUGGAAGACAUUCUAACUCACAUGGAGCUUCCGAUGACCCAGGCACGCGACACAGACCGAGCUAUAGCAGCAGCACAUGGAAGAGCCCUGCCUGUGGUUCAGACUCUGCUUAGAGAUGCCGUGCCCACCGCAAGUAGUGGGGUACAUGUGGGGCAGAAAAGCAUGGGGCCAGGAGAGAACAAUGAGGUGGAAAAAAUGUCUGCUCUUAGUUUGGGUCCAAGUUCAGAGGCUGAUGCCCCAUGCCCAGAUGAAGUUCCAGUCCAUGCUGCAUUCCACGGG